rnacentral:rRNA from 1 species
GAUGAACGCUGGCGGCGUGCCUAAUACAUGCAAGUCGAGCGAACAGAUAAAGAGCUUGCUCCUUUGACGUUAGCGGCGGACGGGUGAGUAACACGUGGGUAACCUACCUAUAAGACUGGGAUAACUUCGGGAAACCGGAGCUAAUACCGGAUAACAUUUGGAACCGCAUGGUUCUAAAGUGAAAGAUGGUUUUGCUAUCACUUAUAGAUGGACCCGCGCCGUAUUAGCUAGUUGGUAAGGUAACGGCUUACCAAGGCGACGAUACGUAGCCGACCUGAGAGGGUGAUCGGCCACACUGGAACUGAGACACGGUCCAGACUCCUACGGGAGGCAGCAGUAGGGAAUCUUCCGCAAUGGGCGAAAGCCUGACGGAGCAACGCCGCGUGAGUGAUGAAGGGUUUCGGCUCGUAAAACUCUGUUAUUAGGGAAGAACAAAUGUGUAAGUAACUGUGCACGUCUUGACGGUACCUAAUCAGAAAGCCACGGCUAACUACGUG